CAAGAUGGCGGCGGGCUGUCAGAUGUAAUCAUCGCUGGGUUUAUUAUUUUCUGUUCAUAUUUAUGUUAAGGAGCCCCUUCCUGAGAUGGGUUUAACGCAGAGUUCGGAUGUUUCCGAAGGCGGAACGUAUGGAUAUCAUGUCCAUGGUGUGCAACCAAAUUCGCCUGCAGAAAAAUGUGGACUGCAACCCUUCUUUGACUUCAUUCUGUCGCUGGACCACAAACGACUUAAUGAGGAAAAUGAUCAGCUGAAGGAGCUCUUGAAAGCCAACAUGGAGAAAGCGGUGUGCAUGGAGGUGUACAGCACCAAGAGCAUGAAGGUUCGGGAGCUGGAGGUGGUGCCCAGCAAUAUGUGGGGAGGACAAGGCUUGCUGGGUGCGAGUGUUCGCUUCUGCAGCUACCAAGGAGCCAAUGAGAAUGUCUGGCACGUUCUGGAUGUGGAAGCCAGCUCACCCGCUGCCCUUGCAGGCCUCCAUCCCCAUACUGACUACAUUGUUGGAGCGGAUCAGGUGCUGCAAGAUUCAGAAGACUUCUUCUCGCUGAUUGAAACCCAUGAAGGGAAGCAACUGAAACUGAUGGUGUACAACACACAAAUGGACGCCUGCAGAGAGGUGACAGUCACCCCAAAUGGAGCUUGGGGAGGCGAGGGCAGUUUAGGUUGCGGCAUUGGGUAUGGCUACCUGCACCGAAUCCCCGCACCUCCUGAUAUGUCCAUGCCAACGCCCGCCGUCGUCCCUCCUCCUCCUCCUGAGGAAAGACCACCUCCAGAGCUGACUAACCAUGGAUUCACCGAGGCACCGUUGGUGGCACCUUCAAACCAAAGUGAGGAUGUGUUAGACUUAGGGCAGGUCACCCUGCAGGAUGCUUCUCCGCCUCCACCUAUCCACAGUGUCACAGAUCCUGGCUUGUCUGACUCUGAAGUACUCGUGACAAGCCCAGAUCCCGUCGAUCCGUUGGACAGGCUGGACGCAUCCGUGUCGUCGAUCGACAUGAACGACACCUCCCUCGCAAUAAAUGACGAGCGAGACAACGAGAUCUCUGGCAUCGAGGAGCUUGAUGGAAGUGAACUGCAUCCUCCCAAACAGACUGACCCACAAGAGCUGAGCCCCUCGGCAUCCAUGGAUCUCACCUCCACGAUGAGUCAGCGAUCCGAUUCAGGUCACCUCCAUUCUACGCACUUACAAGACUCUCUCUGCGAGUCGAGUUCUAGCCCCAGUCCACCUCUAGGUGCACCCUGUCCCUUUUUAGACCCACUGGAGCCCUCCAAUCAACAACCUCCUCCGUGUUCACAUGCUACUGAUGAUCUUCCACCCUGGCUACCAGGUGAGCCGCAGGUCGAUGAUUCGCCCUCUCAGGGAAUUGAGGAUGCUCAGCCCAAAGAUGAGAGUCCUGCUCAUCACUGUGAGCAUGAGGACAAUGAGGACGAACCGCAAGAGUCCGAAUAAGACUGCAUCAGGCCACAUGGACAGAAUGAAGAAGAAAAUUUUAACCAGCUUCAAGUCGAAGGGUACUGUCUGUUCUUUUUUUAAAGGAAAACUGCACUUUUUAAAAAUGUAUUUUGCCCAUCAUCCACAAUCCUCAUGUGAAACAUGAACAGAUAUUUCUUUUCCUUUUCUGUGCGUUCCAAAGAGAGAAAACGAGUUAGCAUGAGGGAGCUAACAAUGGAGGUCAUGGGACCCACCUAUUUCGACGAUAAAGCCUUCUAAAACCCUCCCCAAAAACCAAACCCUAACAACAUUUUAUUGUUUUAUAUACAUGCUGUGAUCAUGCAUGAAAGGGUCACUGACAUGAUUUUUCAACUGUGCUUAUUGCUUAAAUAUGUUCUGUAUUGUUUGUAAUUAUGUUGUACGUUGUUUUGUUGUUUUUUUUUUAAGCGGACAUUUUGGGUCUCAACUUCUUAGACAAGGAGCGUUUCCCAAGUGAUGUCGGCGAAGGUGCAGCUCAACAUAUCGCUGUGAAAGUACGUUUUAUAACACGUAUGGUGGCGUAGUGUUUACUGUACUAUAUGAUAAUAUAUAUGCAAAUAAGACACGACUUACUGUGUUCUGUGGCAACUUUAACGCCUUUCCCCUCCUUUUGUCCUGUGUAGCAUGGGAAUACCAUCCAAAAUGCCUUUAUACCGUCCUUUCAAGCCAAAUGCUUCUUGUAAAGGUGUUUCUUCAUAGCAGUCUUCAGUGAAAUGAACGCGAGGCCGUGGCCCAUAUCACAUACAACGAAAUUAGUACUUGCUUUGUUCUCCUGACAUCCAUAGCUCCACCUGGGGCUGCUCACAGCAUGUGUCCGCUUACAAUGCACCGUCCUCGGCCACGGCGGGUGGCUCACUCCGCGCUAUACUGUGGUUCUCCUGACAUCCCCAGCUCCACCCGGGGCUGCUCACAGCAUGUGUCCGCUUCCAACAAUGCGCCUUCGUCGGCCACAGCGGGUGGUUAUCGUACUUGCUUCGUUCAGACCUUUGUCUUUUGGAAAAGAAACCAAACUUACGGUAUCACUCGGGACACUGAAAAGCCAGCGGGCAACACAAGGUUUUCGCAUGGCAAGUAUUUGAUGAAAAAUAUACCGAACGACGUCGACGAGCUAACUCUAGUGUUUGUUUACCCUGCUUAAGAUGAGAGCUGUCCCUACGCCGACGUCACUUGGGAAACGAUGCUUUUCUGACAACUGCCGAACAACAUUGUCGCCGGCACAUACAAGAAUGGCAUUUUUACUAAUUUAAUGUUCGCUUUAAAAAAAAACAAAAAACAAUGUGAAACAUAUUACAAACAAUAUAGAACAUAUUUAAGCAAAGUUGAAAUACCAUGUCAGUGACCCUUUAACAGGUGCAUUCAUGAUAACAUGUAAUCCUUGCAGUAUUUUGCUUUAUUUUGAUCAUUUUAAACAUCUUUCCUAGGCGCAUUGAUUUCACAUAGCCAAGAGGCGCUAACGCUACUUCUGUCAGCGACAGCAGCAUAGAAGGAGCGUGUCUUUGCUUUUACUAAUCAUGGCAGACUUCACAAGAGCCGCCGCCACUACUUUUGGACAAAUGAGGAACCAGAAAAUAUCUUUUAAGCCUGACUAUAUGGAGGAUGAGCUACAGGUUCAGGUAAGACGCCUCCUUACCCCCCCGUAGCGCUCUUGCUAAAUGUGUCACGGAUAACAGUAUAAUGAAAACAGUCACUUCCAAGUCCGCUCUCAUUGAGUUGGUAAAUGCAACAUACUUGUAGUCCUCGGGUGAAACACGCUGACAGCAAACGAGCAUCUUGUCGAGUCUUCGUAGCGAAGUUGAGAGCCAGUAGUAUCCACUCUUCAGUCUGGGAUGAUAUACUGUAUAACGUAGGGUUACCUUUUCAAAACUCAUAAACAAAACAGCAGCACCUGCAGCAGGUAGUGUAGCGCUCAGCACACCAUCAGCAGCUUGUACAAUAAAGAUAUCACUGUAGCUUGGUUAAUAUACAGGUCAGUUAUGGAAAUGAAACAUUGUUGCUGUUUUUUUUAGGGCUUUAUCGCCGAAAUAGGUGGUUCUCAUGACGCCCAUUUUUAGUUCCCUCAUGCCAACUCGUUUUCUCUCUUUAGAACGCACAGGAAAGGGAAAGAAAGUGUUCAUGUGUCACAUAAGGAUUGUGGAUGAUGGGCAACAUAAAAAAAAAAAUGUUUUCCUUUUAAUGUGAGGCGAUGAAGUUAUUUUAAUUUAUAAGCUAUAAGGCCCGCUUCGAUGUAUUGUCACCUAAUGCAAGAGGAUGCAAGUCAUGAAACCUGAUUGUGAGACCCCAAUUGUAUAAGUCAGGGGGUGUCCAUAGUGUGGCCCACGGCACAUUCUAACAAUCACAUUUAACAAGAAAGCCUUAAAAAAAAAACAAAAAAAAAACAGCAAAAAUGGAAAAAUCUGCAGUAAUUUUACAAAAAUGAAGUCAAAAUAUUAAGACAAUAAAGUUCCGAUCUUAUAGGAAAAAGUCGUAAUUUUACGAGAAUAGUGUAAUUUGAUGAGGAAAAAUAACAUCAUUUUAGUAGCAUAAAGUUUAAAUAUUAAAAGAAAAACUUUUUUUUUUAAAUCUUAUAUAUUUUGAGAGACAAACAAAACAACAAAAUUGGAAUUUUUGGAAAAUUACAUUACAAGAAUAAAGUCUAAAUAUUAUGGGAAUAAAGUAAUAAUUACAGAAGAAAAUUUACAAGAAGAAAGUAAAAAAAAACCCCAGCAGAAAUGGAAAAAAAAGCUUUAAUUUUCAUGAGGAAAAAAAAGUUGUAUUAUAAUUUCAAGAAAUGCCACAAUUUUCCAAGAAUAAACGUGUGAUACUAUGCAGAAAGAUUAUGUCAUUUUAGUAGCACGGAGUUGAAAUAUUAAAGAAAAAUUGUUUUUUUUGUUUGUUUUUUUUUUAAAGUCAUAAUAUGAAAAACAAGAAAUAUACUUGCAAUUUUUGGAAAAUUAGGUUGGGCAAUACGCUAUAAUGUUAUGGGAAUAAAGUCAUAACAUUACGAGAAGAAGAUUUACAAAGAUUAUUUUAGAAGCAAGUUGAAGUACCGGUACUUAAAAAAAAAAAUAAAAUAAAAUAAAUUUAGAAACAGUAAAAAUGGGGGGGGAAAUAGAACAAAGUUGAUACUAAUAAUAGUCUUUUUCACCUAUAUCAUAAAGCUGAGAUGCAGUUUUUUAUAUUUAUGUACCGUAUAUAUAUAAUAAUAAUAAUAAUAAAUGUAUAUAACUUUUUUUUGCAUAACUACGUAUAUGUGUUGCUUGACAAAAUAUCAAAGUGGCCCUUGCAUACUUUCAUUUUUCAGUAUGUGGCCCUCGCUGGAAAAGGUUUGGACACCCCUGGUGAUGCUGCACAACAGCACAAAGCAUCACAGUGGAUCCCCGCACAUUCGCCAUUCUGCAUUCAUGCCGCUGCAAAUUUUUGGUGGAAAAAAAUAAUUUUAAAACGUUUUUUUUUUCCUCUCCAAAAAUAAGCAUUUAUUUCCCGGCGUGUGUAAUAAUAAAACAUAUAAUAAUAAAAAAUCUGUAAAAAUAUAAAAAAUAUAUGCUAAUACAGGUCAAAUGUACAGCGCGUUAGAAAGCCCACAAUUGUCACACGUUUGUCUUUAUGCUUCACUGUUUUUUUUCCAUCUGGUGUUGAAAUGUCACACUUCGUUCGUCGGUCCUUGAACACACCAUAGCUGUGUGCUCUUGACUGGCUACAACGUGACUCCAAUUCAUCCAUUAGUGGUGAUUACCUACACAUUUUAUACUUUAAAUGCGUCUCAUAAGUGUGUGAUGCUUACACCUGGAUUGUUUGUUUAGCUUGUUAGCUUUUUGUCUGGAGCCGAAUCUAAACUAAUAACAGUCACUUGUAUUGGAAAUGUUUUUCCGAAAACAGAGAUCAAUUACUUGCGGAUUUUUGCCAUUCACUGCUAGGCGUGGGGAUCUACUGUCUACUAUCACUUGAUUGAACUGUUAGUCGGGCUUUAUCUCUUUGAUGCAACAGCGUAUUACCCCAUUCUACUGCAAUUUUGUCAUCUAUGCAACAUUAGACAACAAUUGUCCCAUAUACUGGAACUGACACUUUUUCAUGUGUAAUUACAUUAGAUAGUCAUGGUGCUGUUUAGUAAUUGUAUUUUUAAGGGGGAGUAUUUAUCAUUCUAAAUAGCUGCUUUUAGUAAAAGGGAGUAUUUUUGCAGAUAUUCAUUCAAUGAAUUGUAUGUUGUUUUUUUUAAUGAGGAAUGACUCUAAUGGGCUAACUGUCAAAUGGGGUGAGAAUUUUGAUAGUAAAACAACUGGAACACUAAAACUUGUUUGUUGUUUCAAACUUAAAAUGGAGAACACUUUCAAUUCAAGGCAUAUCCUAGCAUAAUUUGUGGGGGUGUCACGAGACAAGACGAUACUACGAGAAUGCGACGGGAUUUUAACAUUACUUUUAAGAAAAGUACAAUAAAAAUAAAAAAAAAAACAUAUUGCAAUCUACUAAUAUAAUUUCUACGUUAUACUGUUCUGUACUCUGUGUGUAUGUUGGCGGCCCCGCCUCCACCCACUGAGACAGAGACUGUACGACUGACAAAAAGGGUUCACUCCAUUCAGGCUGUUGUUCUGUGGAACAAACGCGUUAAGAUGCUGAAAUCCAUGCACAGAGAGAACCCUCUUCAUGCCCGUUUGGAGGCGAGAGACUAGGAAAACAGACACGCAUUGCGUGCACAUGGCAAUAUAUUCAACCAGAAAAAUGAUCCAGUUCAUGUUGGGCAUUUCUGCGUGGAGUUUUCAUGUUCUCCCUGUGCGUGCGUGGGUUUUCUCUGGGUACUCCGGUUUCCUCCCACAUUCCACAAACAUCCAUGUUAGGUUAAUUGGAGACUCUAAAUUGUCCAUAGGUAUGAAUGUGAGUGUGAAUGGUUGUUUGUCUAUAUGUGCCCUGCAAUUGGCUGGCGAUCAGUCCAGGGUGUACGCCGUCUCUCACCCGAAGUCAGCUGAGAUAGGCUCCAGCAUACCCCCGCAACCCUAAUGAGGAAAAGCAGCAUAGAAGAUGGAUGGAUGGAUGGAUGGAUGUUCAUUUAGUGUGUGAUUGAUGUAUUUAUUCUUGCACCAGGCCUCGUGUGGCUCACGACAGGAGAAAUCUUCACGUUUUAAUCUCGCGAGAUCUUGUGACACCCCUAAUAAUUUCCAUAAAUGUGUCAUUGUUAAACCAUUCCAAUUUAUUUCUUUGGAAGCCUAAAAUAUACAUAUUUCACAAAUUAUUACAACAGUGGAAAUUACAGUUUCAUGACUAAUUGGGGUGCCCUGUUUCGGCCAACUGGAGCUCACUUGGCUUGUUCCCACUACAUGAACACCAUCACUUAUAGAAUAAAAAUAUGGCCUGCUUGGUGACACACCAAGACAGAAACAAACAAACAUACCAGUUUGCUUUGGUGAAUAAUUAUAUAUUACUAUUCAUGUUUUAUUAAGCUAUUUAAAUGAAAUAUACAUUAGGAACAGCCCUCACUUGGACCAUUGCUAAUAAUGACCCAAGCAUAAAGCGAGCUUUAUAGAUUUUUAUCAUUUCAAAUUGCUUAGAUGAUUUAAACAACUACACACAUUCUUAAGACUAAACUGCAAUUUCAAGGUUGUAGUGAAUACAACAAAUGCCAUUUGUGUCAUCCAUGUCAAGUUAGCGCCAUGAAUGUGUUGUAAGGAAUUGGAAAAAUAACCGUUUGGUAUUAACUGUACAACAAAACGCGUGCGCGCGCACUCCUCCCCCCCACCCCAAAAAGUCACUUAAAUCCAAAUUGUUGUACAUAUAUUUACAAGAAAACAGAACAUUCAGUCGACUUGAUAACAGCACAGCUAGAAGACAAAGAUGAGUGAAGUGAUGGCGUUCAGGUUUGUCGUAAGAAGUUGAGGGUAUGUUCAAGUGAGGAUGGGCGAUGCCUCCCAGAGAGCGGGUGUCGUCCUUAACUGGAGAUACUGUUGACACGGUGCAGUGUUUGUAGAACAAGAGCAGGUCUGGAAUGUACUAGAACAUUCUGCACACGCACUCACACAAACAUGUACAGCACUUCAUAAGAAACAAACAUAGCAGUCAAAGAUGUAAAAAAAAAAAAAAAAAAAGAAAACAUUUUAGUCCUGCAGAAUAAAUUGGAGUUAAUUCUUCAAACAGUUGGGGGGUGGGUGAUCCAUUUUGUCUGUUGGCUGCUCCGCCCUGGGAAAUGCUCCCUAUGACGCAACCCUGGAAAAAUCUUACUGGAUUCUCGUUGACACUACAACCAUUGACCGUGAAUGGAGUUCAGGGUACUACAUGUCAGAAGAGAGGCGAUUGGCAAAUGAAGAGUUCUUGCUUUCCAAAAAUCGAACUUUCACGUUGACUUCUGCCUAUAGUGAAGCGUCAAAUCCCCGCCGCUCUUCCAGAUAAAAUGUUUAACUGUUCGCAGGUCCAUGUUGGGAUCCAGAACCUAGUGGUGAGAUGAGAGGACGAUACGGUUCUUAGCAUGAAGCACAAGUGAGGAUGUAGAGGAGGGGUACACUGUACCUGGUCUUGACACAUGAGUUCUAUCUUCUCCUCAGCUAGCAUGGCCAUGUCCUCCUCCUUUUCCUGCUCCCCAGGCUUAUCAUUGGCAGAGGAACUUGUGGUCUGAGACUCGUUGUCCAGGUUGAUGAUCUUCUCGUACACGUGCUCCAUCACCUUCCUCACCUGGAGCAUGUCACUAGCUGAAAGACGGUCCCUGUGUAGCAUAAAAAAAAAGCUGUGGCAGUUGACCGUUCUAUGCAACCCAGGUAAACCGGAGGGGGGGUAAAACUCACUUCUUCAGCGUUUUUGCACCAGAGGAUGAAUGAGGCUGGAGGUAGAAUGGGAUUUUGUUGAACUUGGGCAUAUUUUUCUGGCCAAACGAAAGAGAAGGUGAUAACAUACCAGGUGAAAAUGAGCACCAUACUCACAUCUACAGUUAUAUCAAUGACCCACUGAGGAACAGUCUCAUUCAGCAACAUAGACUCCGUCUCUCCCCCUGAGUCUCGACAUAGCAACCUGCCGCAUAACCACACAGGACAUCAAUGAAAUGCACUCAAACUAUUCCACUUUUAUACGGUAUGUACUAUAUGUACAGGUUCUAUUACACUACAUCUGGGUGUGUACAGGAUUACACACGCUGUAUAUCUUUGGGCCCUUUAUUAUAUUUACUGUAAGUCAGACAAUUGUCAAACCUCAAAAACAACAUACCUGAAAAGAGUUCUGCCACCUGCUUCCCCAAAGAUAACCGGCGUGUGUGGCGGCACCUGGAAGUAUCCGUUUCCUUUCUGGACACGGUUUUCCGGCUCUCCAUUCACUGUGGGUAGGUAUUCAUCUUAAAUAUUUACACAAUUAAUUUCUUCUUCACAAGAACGUUCAUGACAGCAGCAAAAUUAUACCCAGGAGCCUCUCCGGCACAAUUUAUGAGAGAUCAAAGUUUGCAUGAUGUAAAGUCAG